AGAUUGAACGCUGGCGGCAGGCCUAACACAUGCAAGUCGAGCGGUAGAGAGGUGCUUGCACCUCUUGAGAGCGGCGGACGGGUGAGUAAUGCCUAGGAAUCUGCCUAGUGGUGGGGGAUAACGUUCGGAAACGGACGCUAAUACCGCAUACGUCCUACGGGAGAAAGCGGGGGACCUUCGGGCCUCGCGCCAUUAGAUGAGCCUAGGUCGGAUUAGCUAGUUGGUGAGGUAAUGGCUCACCAAAGGCGACGAUCCGUAACUGGUCUGAGAGGAUGAUCAGUCACACUGGAACUGAGACACGGUCCAGACCUCCUAGGGA
rnacentral:rRNA from 1 species